rnacentral:lncRNA from 1 species
AUGCUUUGGGGCUGUCUCUGUACAAAAGCUUUGCGCGAUGCGCCCACUUCCCUCCGCGGGCGCUGCGAGGGCCGGCGGCGCGGUGCGGAGCGGAGCGGAGCUGAGUUCCCGCGGUGUCCCCGCGACGGGGCGCGCUCAGAACUUGCCGCAGUCGUAGACGAAGGCCCCGGAGGUGCGGUAGAGCGGCUGGCUGCCGGGGAAGGCCAUCUGACAGCUCCCGCCGCCCCCCGCCCCGCCGCCGCCGCCGCCGCCCCCUGCCCCGCUGCCUCCUCCGCCGCCGCCGCCGCCGCCCGGCGAGGCGCUCAGCCCGAGCCGCGGCGCCUCGAACACCUCUCUCGGGGCGGCGGCGAAGCCCUGCUGCGGCCCCGCGUAGCCCGCCGCGCCCGCCAGCGGGCCCAGCUCUCCCGCCGCCGCCGCCGCCGCCGCCGCGGCCGCCGCCGCCUGGUUGAGGUACCAGGAGGCCAGGCGGCCCUGGUGCGGGUGCGGGUGGUGCCCCUCCUGGUGGCCGCCCGCCGCGCCGCCCAGCCCGCCGUGCCCCAGCGCCCCGCCGCCGCCGCCCCCCGCCCCGCCGCCGCCGCCGCCGCCGCCGCCGCCCGAGGGCAUCGCGUACUCGGGCAGCGGGUCCUCGGCGGGGCUGGCGGCCGCGGAGGGCAGGUGGCCGGGCCGGUCGGCGCCGCCCGCCGCCGCGUACAGGCUCAUGGCCUGCAUGUUGCAGUGGAUUACCCUGCUCUGCCUUUGGCCUCUGAGGGACAUAUGAAGUUGGUGGUCCCAGGAUUUCAGAGUGAGCAGAAUGAAAUUGCUGAGUGGUAG